rnacentral:rRNA from 1 species
UGGGGAAUUUUGGACAAUGGGGGAAACCCUGAUCCAGCCAUCCCGCGUGUGCGAUGAAGGCCUUCGGGUUGUAAAGCACUUUUGGCAGGAAAGAAACGUCGCGGGUUAAUACCCCGCGAAACUGACGGUACCUGCAGAAUAAGCACCGGCUAACUACGUGCCAGCAGCCGCGGUAAUACGUAGGGUGCAAGCGUUAAUCGGAAUUACUGGGCGUAAAGCGUGCGCAGGCGGUUCGGAAAGAAAGAUGUGAAAUCCCAGAGCUUAACUUUGGAACUGCAUUUUUAACUACCGGGCUAGAGUGUGUCAGAGGGAGGUGGAAUUCCGCGUGUAGCAGUGAAAUGCGUAGAUAUGCGGAGGAACACCGAUGGCGAAGGCAGCCUCCUGGGAUAACACUGACGCUCAUGCACGAAAGCGUGGGGAGCAAACAGGAUUAGAUACCCUGGUAGUCCACGCCCUAAAACGAUGUCAACUAGCUGUUGGGGGCCUUCGGGCCUUGGUAGCGCAGCUAACGCGUGAAGUUGACCGCCUGGGGAGUACGGUCGCAAGAUUAAAAACUC